GGCUGCUCCUCCUCCCCACGCGCUGCACGUCUUAAAUUGCGAGCCUUAAAAUAGCGAGGGGUUUGCACGGCAUGGAGAAACUGCAGCGAUUGGUUGUUUAGCUUGCCAUUCGCACUGGCGCUGCCUGAUUGCCUGUGGAGCUGGAGUAAGCGUUGUACGCCCGCCCUGCUCCAGGGAUAAAAGGAGGGAAGGCAGAGCGCGCUAGCCGGUGAGGCUCCACGAGGUUCAUCUUGGUUGGUGUGCGACCGACCCUGGUGCCUUUUUGCUGCCUGUCUGAGGCUGGCGCAGGGCUUUAUGCUGGGAUGGAGUCCCUCCCAGUAAUAAGAAUAAGGAAAUAAGUCACCUUCAAAAUAUCCUCUUGAGAGAACAAAGGAGCAGCUGCAGGCCAGUCAGAGCUCAGCUGGCAAGGAGUUGCCUACUAGAAAAAUUAACCAAUAAACUGAAACUGACACGGGGACAAACAGAAGAUGCCUUUAUCACAUACACAGCCCAACAAGACAAUGACAAUAAUCCACCAACAGCAUACAAAUCAAUAUGGCUAACCUGAUCCAAAACACCCACCCACCCCACUCACACGAAAACAAAGAUCACCACAGCCAAACACAAACAAACAACCACACCCUAGGCCAACCCCAACCUCUCUCAGCACCAAAGGAACACAAGUGAACAGCACAAGCAACGCUGACACCAAACCCUAUAUACAUUAAGCAUAAUAGAAACAUCGCCACCCACCCCCACCCAUCUUCCCUCCCUCCACCCCCUUUUUUCCCCUCUCACCCUAAUGUCUCAACAAAUGAAACGGAUUUGUAAAAAUGUUACAUGGAAAAAAUACGAGAGACAUUACACUUACUUCUGUAAAACAAGAAAAUCUUUAAUAAAAAAGAAAAAGCUGGCAAGGAGCUGGAGGGCAGCACAGCACAGAUGCCUCCAACAAGGAAAACAGAGAAACCUUCCCUCGUGCAGUGCAGUUCUUCACUUCUGAAAGUGGAGUCAUGAACAAGAUGAUUGAUUUCAUUGAGAAUCCCAAAGGAUUGUGGAUUGCAUACUGCACACUUUAAGAAAACUGGGAUUGCUCAAUGUAAACUUCAGUAUUCACAGUUUGGUCUACACAGUGUUGAAGAAGAAGAAACAGAAACAGAAGAAGAAACAACCCUUUGUUGGUACCGCAAGGCUCAUAUUGUGCAUAACAUGGCUUUCAGUUGAACCAUGUCUCUGCUCCUGCUUCAUUAGGCUUGUUGAGGAUUUUCCCAGACUACUCCUCACUAGCUGAAGCUAGACAUUAAUGCAGAAGUGCAGGAUGAGGAAGACAGUUAUGUUGUGGAGGUUUAUCUCCUUUUUUGCAAUCACAUUUUUUGUCCCUCGUUGUAGAUACUGUUAAGCUUGAGGCCAAUAACACCACCUGCAUAGAGCUAUGCUAUUUUGUAUUCCUUUAGAGCCAAACUGGCACAGAGAUGUGAUGAACAGUUUGUUGGAGACCUGACCAAAGUCAAGCUGCAGCGCCUUUCUCCAGUUGAUGCAAACAGGGCAAUGGGAGAAUUCAUUUUAUUCAUUGAGACUGCCAUUGCAUUGAGAAAUGGUUUGCUUUUUCAAAUUGCAACUGGCUUUUCUGCCUCCAGCCCCUCUCCCUCAAAGAUGGCAAGUUCAUCUACAGACACAUUGAAAAGGUCUAUGAAAAUCUCAGCUUCACUACCAGAGUGGACAUGGAUAAGCUGUAUGAUGAAAGUGUAACAGCCAACUGCAUUCUGGAGCAACUUUUAAAGGCUGCUCAGUGAAAGAACAAAGUUGUGGCUGCAAAGUGGAUGGCUAUAUUUACAGCAUGUGAUCUACCCACUUUGCCCUGUGGAGUGGAUUUCCUCCAUGAUGUUGAACAAAUGGAGUAAUGUUCAGAACUGGUGCUCUGUGGAACUGAUAAAAAGUGAGAUCCUGAUUUCUCUGAACUUUGAACUGCCAUGUGCCGAAUUCCACUCUUAUUUUGAAGGACAAAGCACUGCUAAAUGCAGCAAGGAGUGACAGUAGUCAUGGAAGGUGAAGUGGAGAGAAAGACAGACUAUUGUCUCAAAACAGAGGGACUUCUGUGGCCCUUUCCACAGAAAUAAAGAUAUUAAACACCAUGUUGAGUUGCUUCAUGUUGGUUUGUGUCAAACCAAUUACAAAUCAUAAAGCUUUUGUUUUUCUCCAUUGAAUAAAGCACUGUGUGCCAU